CAUCGGGAGCGUAUAGAAAGUGGUACGUCACUCUCGUCUCGUGUUGACGUCAUCGUCGUCUUCUUCCUCUUCUUCUCCGCAGCAACAAAAUAGCAGAUUCUUUCGUACUCCAUUGUCCGCUCCACACUCCCCAAAAAACUCCGAUUUAUCGGCCGAUUAAAUGGCCGACGAUUAUGUCCUCAUUCCAAACGGAGAAGACGACCUUGCACUCAUCACCACCACUCCCAAGCCUCCAUGUGUCGCCUCCCUCGACGUCUUCCGCUGCUGCCUCUGCGUCUUCCUGAUGAUGGUGGUGGAUUACAGCGGCUCGAUUAUUCCGGCGAUUGCUCGCCGUGGAACGGUCUCCAUUUGGCUGACUUUGUGAUGCCGUUUUUUCUCUUCAUUGCCGGAGUCUCUCUUGCUUUGGUCUAUAAGGAAGAUCACUAUCCAACAAGCGUUUGGAUUGGCUGUCCAGAUACAAAAUAGCACUAGGUGCUGCAAAGAAGAAUAUCAUAUCUUCAUCUUUGAGAAGUUACUGUUAGGCUUGAUUGGAUUUGAAAUUUUCAAUACCUGAAUAAGUUUAUCCAUAUAAGAAAGGAUUUUGUCUUUGAUGCUAUAUGAAAGUUUGAUACUUUUUUUUUUUUUUUUGAAGGAAAAGUAAAUUGAGUUUAAUACUUUACUUUCAUUGACUGUGGUAAAUGGAGCUUUGUAUCAUCAAUAAGGUUGUGUAGGUGGGAAGUAGUUGCUAUAAAUUUACCCCUUUUGAGAAGGAAGGAUAUUCUGUUAGUCUUUUUGGUUGAUUUAUUCAUAUUUCUGUGUCAUUGUACUUCAAACACUCAUAAUAUGGUUGUGGUUUUUGUUUACGAAGUCAUUGACUGGAGAUUCAUGGGACAAGCCAUUCCUAAGGAGAGCUCUGGAGCUCUGAGAGGAGUUUCAACAGUAAUAUGCCCAAAUAUAUGCAAUAUCUACACCUGGGACUCACCGACUUAAUUUUGUCCUGCUAUAUUAUCAUGUAAAGCAUGAUUUAUACAUUAUACAUAGAUCCCAAUUCGCCAGCUUUUUAUCACUCUACCUUUUAUAUUCUUAGAUU